rnacentral:rRNA from 1 species
UGGGCGGCGUGGUUAAGACAUGCAAGUCGAACGAGACUUUUCGUUGUAGCAAUACGAUGGAAAGUUUAGUGGCGAACGGGUGCUUAACACGUGGGCAACCUGCCAGGAAGUGGGGGAUAGCUCGCCGAAAGGCGAAUUAAUACCGCAUGUGACUAGAGAGGACAUCCUUUCGAAAUUAAAGUCGGGGCAACCUGACGCUUCUUGUGGGGCCCGCGGCCUAUCAGCUAGUUGGUGAGGUAACGGCCCACCAAGGCUUUGACGGGUAGCUGGUCUGAGAGGACGACCAGCCACACUGGGACUGAGACACGGCCCAGACACCUACGGGUGGCAGCAGUCGAGAAUUUUUGACAAUGGGGGAAACCCUGAUCGAGCGACGCCGCGUGGAGGAUGAAGGUCUUCGGAUUGUAAACUCCUGUCAUUGGGGAACAAUGCACAGAUAUUAACUGUAUUUGUGUUGAUAGUACCCGAAGAGGAAGAGACGGCUAACUCUGUGCCAACAGCCGCGGUAAUACAGAGGUCUCAAGCGUUGUUCGGAUUCAUUGGGCGUAAAGGGUGCGUAGGCGGCGCGGUAAGUCGGGUGUGAAAUCUCGGGGCUUAACUCCGAAACUGCAUUCGAUACUGCCGUGCUUGAGGACUGGAGAGGAGACUGGAAUUCUCGGUGUAGCA